CACUUCAUGGGAACGACCUGAGACUGCAAUCACUGCUUCAAUUUUUGAAUUGCAGAAUAAUUAGAUGCACUAUCUAGUGUAUGUAAGAUAUCUAUGGCCUAUACUCACCUCAGCCGCUUGGUAUACACUUAAAAAGAUUAUGAAAGCCUUCGUACAACCGGCUCUGAAAAUUAGCAAUCCUAUAAAUAUAUAUAUAACAUAAACAAACUAAAGUUGGUCGAAAGAUAGAAAAAAACAGCUUACCUCGUUGCCAAAAAGAAACCGCUUUUCUUCGUCUGCCAUGGCCAAUGCCACCAAAACGAGUAUCACGAAUAACGAUUUCAUUUUCUUACUAGAACUCACACGUUAUUUUUGAAGAAGUUGUUGUUCGCAAGACAAGCUAUCCAAAAUGACUUGAAUUUUACCAAACACCCUUAUUAUCACAAAAAUUACGGGAACGGCUGAGUAAAUUAUGUCGCGGAAGUUAAUUAACGUUUGUUUCAAAGAUUUAGCAUCACAAAAAAGCGAAAUCUAUGUAUAGUUUUUGCGUAAAUAUCCC
rnacentral:lncRNA from 1 species